rnacentral:sRNA from 1 species
GACCUAAACUCCUCACGGGGCAUGGUCACGAAUACGCGACGAACAUAGAAAACCCGUCAUCAGGGCGUUUGUCGCGUUACCAGGGGAAACUCUGGUAGGGGUGACCGCAAGGUCCC